GACGAACGCUGGCGGCGUGCUUAACACAUGCAAGUCGAACGGAAAGGCCCUGCUUUUGUGGGGUGCUCGAGUGGCGAACGGGUGAGUAACACGUGAGUAACCUGCCCUUGACUUUGGGAUAACUUCAGGAAACUGGGGCUAAUACCGGAUAGGAGCUCCUGCUGCAUGGUGGGGGGGGGAAAGUUUCGGCGGUUGGGGAUGGACUCGCGGCUUAUCAGCUUGUUGGUGGGGUAGUGGCUUACCAAGGCUUUGACGGGUAGCCGGCCUGAGAGGGUGACCGGCCACAUUGGGACUGAGAUACGGCCCAGACUCCUACGGGAGGCAGCAGUGGGGAAUAUUGCCCAAUGGGCGGAAGCCUGAUGCAGCAACGCCGCGUGCGGGAUGACGGCCUUCGGGUUGUAAACCGCUUUCGCCUGUGACGAAGCGUGAGUGACGGUAAUGGGUAAAGAAGCACCGGCUAACUACGUG
rnacentral:rRNA from 1 species